UAAUUACGUUGAAGUUCUUAAAUCAAUAAAUAUCUAUAAUAUUAAUAUUAAUAAUUCUAUUGUUAUGUAUAGAAAGGUUUAUGGUCUGUUACAAGAGUGAAAGUCCUCCCUUUUAAAUAUAAAUCAAAUUUCUUUACAGCCCAUAUAAUGGCCAAAGCCUCUUUAUCAAUUUGAGAAUAUUUUGUUUCUGCAUCAUUGAGCGUUCUGCUUGCAAAUGCAAUAGGACGUUCACACACUGCAUUACCUAUCUUAAUUUCAUGAGCUAAACAAGCUCCUAAACCAUACCUUGA
rnacentral:misc_RNA from 1 species